rnacentral:rRNA from 1 species
CAGCCGCCGCGGGAAUACGUAGGGUGCAAGCGUUAAUCGGAAUUACUGGGCGUAAAGCGUGCGUAGGCGGUUUGUCAAGUCUGCUGUGAAAUCCCCGGGCUCAACCUGGGAAUGGCAGUGGAUACUGGCAAGCUAGAGUGUGUCAGAGGAUGGUGGAAUUCCCGGUGUAGCGGUGAAAUGCGUAGAGAUCGGGAGGAACAUCAGUGGCGAAGGCGGCCAUCUGGGACAACACUGACGCUGAGGCACGAAAGCGUGGGGAGCAAACAGGAUUAGAUACCCGGGUAGUCCCUGUCUCUUAUAC